CAGUUUGUAAUAAAAUGGCUGAUUCUUCAAUGGUCUACACUCUUACUCCAGAGCUAUCCUUUUCACCAUCUACAGCAAGAGCAAAAACCACUUAUAAAAUUGGUUCAAAGUUAGUGAAUACUGAAACGAGACACACAGAGUACAAAGUUGAAAUUUUGCUUUGAAUAACUUAGAGCAGCACAUAAGGAAGUAUGGUUCAGCGUUUUUAAAUUCAGGAGGUGGUACCCUAACAAUUGGUAUUGCUGAUGAUG
rnacentral:lncRNA from 1 species